GCUGGGCACUGUGGCCCAUGCCUAUAAUCCCAGCAACUUGGGAAGCUGAGGGAGGAGGCCAGUCUGGGCAACUUAGCAAGAUCCUGUCUCAA
rnacentral:sRNA from 1 species